GGGCUGCAUUUUGAGCUGCUGAAGUCCCACUAAACACUCUGAAGCCACAUUGUUUGUAUAUUUUUUGAACAAUGUGUCUCAGAGUUUAGUGGGCCCUUAGCACCCACAUCAUCUUCCCUG
rnacentral:precursor_RNA from 12 species